rnacentral:lncRNA from 1 species
GCCGCCCUUUGUCUGCCGCGGCCCGGCCGGGUGGGGCGCGGGGCACAGAGAUCUGGGGUUUAGCGGGGGUGCUCUGGGCCCCGCCUGCGGGAGGGUCUCUGGGCCCCGCCCAGGCUGCUCCUCGAGCCCUCCGGAGCCCCCAGCUCCCGGGGCUAGGUGAGCUACGAGGUCCGCCUCUUACUCCUCCCCUCCUCCCCCCAGGCGCUGCCUUCUUCCCCUCCAAGCUCCGGCCUCGUAGCCCUAGCUGACAGCCCCACCUGCCCCCCGCCAUCCCCAACCAGGUCUCAGGCCCGUGGCCCCGCUCUCCGAAAGCUCCGAAAGCCUCCCCGGAGCCGCCCCCGCCUCCCCACGUUGCUCUCUGCCUCUCGGUCUCUCGGUCUCUCUCUUGGUCUCUUUCCCUCUUUCCCUCUUUCCCUCUUUCCCUCUUUCCCUCUUUCCCUCUCUCCCUCUCCUCUGUUGUCCUCUCCUUUCUCGCUUCCUUUCCCAUCUACUCUCCUGCUCCUCUCUGCUUCUCUCUCUCUCUCUCUCUCUCUCUCUCUCUCUCUCUCUCUCUCUCUCUCUCUUUUUGUCUCUGUCUCUCUCUUCUCCCCUCUUCCCUCCCUCCUCAGCGACUCUUCUCCCUUCUCUCUCCCUCUUUCAUCUCUCUCCUCCGUUUCCUCUCUGGUUUGGUCUCACUUUCCUCUCCCUCUCCUCCAUUCUCCCCUUUCUCCCCCUUCCUUCCCUCUUUCUCUCCUCUCUCUUUCGCUCGCUCUCCUUUUCUCUGAAUCUCUCUCGAUCUCUUUUCCCUCUCGCUUCUCUCUCCUUCCCUCCACCCUUUCCUCUCCCUUUCCCUCCCUUUCCCACUUCCCUUGCCCCUCCCUCUCCCCUCUUUCGCCCCUCUCUCUCCCUUCCCCCUCUCUCCUUCCUCUCUCCCUCCUCUCUCCCUCCUCCCCUUUUGCCCCCUCCUCUUUCUCUCUUCCCUCUUCUCUCUCUUCUCUCUCUCUCUCUCUCUCUCUUCUCUCUCUCUCUCUCUCUCUCUCCCCCUCCCUCGCUCCCUCCCUUCCUCUCCCUCCCUUUCUUCCCCCUCCUCUCGUCCCUCUCCCUCUCUCCCUCUCUUCCUCCUCCAGCCGGUAAAUCCGAUCCAGGCGGAUUCCUCUCACGUCAAACCACAUGAUCCCAUAAAACAUUCAUCUCCAGCCCGGCUAGGAGCCCGCAUCCAUCGCCG